CAUAGAGAGACUUUCUCACUUUUUUCAAUUUUAUGUUUUUUUUCAAAUUAGUGAACUUUUAUUUCAAAAUCAUGAACCUUUUUUGAAUUCAUGAACUUUUUCCAUUAUCGCAACUAUUUUUUUUACACAAAGGAAUAAACGCGCCCCAGUCCCCAUCCCCCGAUUCUCUCCCUCUCCCUUUCCCCUGUGUGCCGCCGCCGCCACCACCGGCGCCCAGAUGUGGCGUUGCUCUUCCCCACGGCCCUGAUGGCAAGGCGGCGACAAGGACGAGCUCCACCGGACGAGGUCGAUGCGCCCCUGCCACACUUCCUUCUCCAUCGUACGCCUUGGUACGCCUCGUUGGCCCUCUUCGUGGCUUGCCCUCUGGUGCUCCAUCCAUCGCUACCAGGUACGAACUCAACCUCCCUGCCUCUACAUGUUCCUAGGUGCUGCAGAUGUUCACCCCCUUUCUUUUCUAAUCUGUUUAUGUGCUCUUCCUUGCUACACAAUUUGAGGGAUAAGCGAAGAAAAUUGUUUCAGCACAUCAACACCCCCCCUCCUUGCCUCUGUUUCUUCCGAUUUAUAUGAUUUCCCCACGCGCAGAUCACCGUGUGUGACGCUGCUCUUCAGCGCAUCUGUGUGUGCAAUUUGUGUCAGUGCAGGACUUCCGGUGGCUGGACUGGGCGGAGCUAUGGACAAUACACGUACCAUGUCCUAUUUGUGCUGCUGACUACUUUUUUGACAAGUGCCGGGACCUUCCGCCGGUGCUGUCUACGGCAACUCCUCAGAUUUGUUCAUCACACCAAACAAGCAACUGAGACGGCAAGGCGUUUGGAUGAAGCUCUCUGCUUGAUAUGGUUAACUGGAUGGUUUAGUGAUCUGCUGUGGAGGGCUUGCACCUGCCGCCUCUUCUUCCUCUCUCUGCUUCCUUGCCCACCCCUCGUGGCACACACGAGCAGCGGCGGCAGCGGAUCUGCAAGAAACGUGGGAAGGCAGGACAUGGGACGGAGCAGAUUGGCGGCGGGAAGCUCCGGAAGGAGCACGAGGCAGAGCGGAUUCGUGCGACAUCACGUCGUGGAAGGAGGCGGGACGACUCGCCUCCUCGCCAUAAUCGCAGCUCCCGUCCGUCCUCUCCACGUCUCUGUCGAUUCCCCCAAUUUUGAGCCACCAAGGCCAUGGACCGGGACCUGUGUGUUCAUUUGAAGACAAGAAAGUGAAAGGGGCGCUUACCUACUUGGCACUGCCGAGCUUCCGCUAGCAAUGGAGGUGAUUGUCUGCUCUCGUUUUCAUGGCGCCAAUGGAGGUGGGUGUGAAGUGAGCACACAAUUGUUCAACGUUGCUGGAUAGGUUCUUCCUGGUCGUCUUCUUUUGUUGAGGCCUGACGUUACAAUCGCGUUACGGUAUGUCUCCUGACGCGAACAU